AUUAACGCUGGCGGCGUGCCUAAUACAUGCAAGUCGAGCGAACGGACGAGAAGCUUGCUUCUCUGAUGUUAGCGGCGGACGGGUGAGUAACACGUGGAUAACCUACCUAUAAGACUGGGAUAACUUCGGGAAACCGGAGCUAAUACCGGAUGAUAUUUUGAACCGCAUGGUUCAAAAGUGAAAGACGGUCUUGCUGUCACUUAUAGAUGGAUCCGCGCUGCAUUAGCUAGUUGGUAAGGUAACGGCUUACCAAGGCAACGAUGCAUAGCCGACCUGAGAGGGUGAUCGGCCACACUGGAACUGAGACACGGUCCAGACUCCUACGGGAGGCAGCAGUAGGGAAUCUUCCGCAAUGGGCGAAAGCCUGACGGAGCAACGCCGCGUGAGUGAUGAAGGUCUUCGGAUCGUAAAACUCUGUUAUUAGGGAAGAACAUAUGUGUAAGUAACUGUGCACAUCUUGACGGUACCUAAUCAGAAAGCCACGGCUAACUACGUG
rnacentral:rRNA from 1 species